rnacentral:lncRNA from 1 species
GGGAACCACCUGGGCACCGCCUUCUCCUAGGGUUGGACAAGUGUGGCUGGCCACCUACCUGGCACUGCCAGGUGGCCAACCAGAUUGGCCCAAGGGCCAGGGGAGGGUCUUGGUACCCGGCAGAAGGGAAGUGGCCCGGCCCGCAGUGACUGCAGACAAUGGCAUCUUGUGAGCACACAGGCAGCGGGAGAAGGAAUCAGGGCCGAGGAUGAUUGAGGGUUAGUCAAUAAAGCCCUGGGCCCAGGCCCAGUGGGGCAGCUGCCAGGGCAGGGCUGGCCCAUGUGCACUUCCUGCCUCAGCACCCCUCCCCUCCCCUUCGCAGAGACCGCCCAGUCUCUGAGGACUCUGGAGACCAGGCACAGCCCCUGCUGGCAGGGACAGUGAAGGUGGCCAACUAGGGUUUUGUCCCCAGGCCCUGCCAGCAGCAGAAGCCCCAGUGGAGAUGUCCCAGCCCCACCUGCUUGUGCCUCUGUGCUCCCAGUCCAGCUGCUCCAGCCCUGGCAGGGUCGUGCCAGGGUCCCUAGGUACAACCUGUGCUUCUAAUCGGCCUCUGGCUCCCUGGUCCUCUCCCGGGGUGCCCUCAGGCUCUCGUAGUGGCCUCUGAUGUCUUGGGAGGCCCUGUGUUCUGGUCCCCACCAGGUAGAGACCCAAAUCUCCCAGGCCUACCCUUCAAGGCCAUGGAACCUUCCAUUAUAGCUUGUUCUAACAGGCACAGAGGAACUUGACGUGAUCCUCUUGCCUCAGCCUCUCCAGAACUGAGAUUACAGGUAUAUCCCAUCUGGGUGCACUCAUUCCGUAGGUAGCAGCCUUAAGUGCUGCCCCUGUGUAGAGAUGAGGAAAGACUGUGUCUGCCUCAGACUUCCUGGGGCCACAGAAGGGCCCUUCAUAAAUCCCAAGACAAGACGGCAAAGAAGGCCGAGCGGGGUGUUUACAGCAGCGUCAGGGUCUUGCUUUGUGGCCCAGCAACUAACUUCAGGGGAAGAAGUCAGAGGUGGGACAGAGCAGAGUGGAGAGGUGACGGCCUCUGGAGUCCAGCUGUGUCCUGCAGUUGGG